UACAGAGGUCUCAAGCGUUGUUCGGAUUCAUUGGGCGUAAAGGGUGCGUAGGCGGCGCGGUAAGUCGGGUGUGGAAAUCUCGGAGCUUAACUCCGAAACUGCAUUCGAUACUGCCGUGCUUGAGGACUGGAGAGGAGACUGGAAUUUACGGUGUAGCGGUGAAAUGCGUAGAUAUCGUAAGGAAGACCAGUGGCGAAGGCGGGUCUCUGGACAGUUCCUGACGCUGAGGCACGAAGGUCAGGGGAGCAAACGGGG
rnacentral:rRNA from 1 species